GACGAACGCUGGCGGCGUGCCUAAUACAUGCAAGUAGAACGCUGAAGGAGGAGCUUGCUCUUCUGGAUGAGUUGCGAACGGGUGAGUAACGCGUAGGUAACCUGCCUGGUAGCGGGGGAUAACUAUUGGAAACGAUAGCUAAUACCGCAUAACAGUAGAUGUUGCAUGACAUUUACUUAAAAGGUGCAAUUGCAUCACUACCAGAUGGACCUGCGUUGUAUUAGCUAGUUGGUGGGGUAACGGCUCACCAAGGCGACGAUACAUAGCCGACCUGAGAGGGUGAUCGGCCACACUGGGACUGAGACACGGCCCAGACUCCUACGGGAGGCAGCAGUAGGGAAUCUUCGGCAAUGGACGGAAGUCUGACCGAGCAACGCCGCGUGAGUGAAGAAGGUUUUCGGAUCGUAAAGCUCUGCUGUAAGAGAAGAACGAGUGUGAGAGUGGAAAGUUCACACUGUGACGGUAUCUUACCAGAAAGGGACGGCUAACUACGUG
rnacentral:rRNA from 1 species